AGUGAACGCUGGCGGUAGGCCUAAUACAUGCAAGUCGAACGGCAGCACAGUAAGAGCUUGCUCCUACGGGUGGCGAGUGGCGGACGGGUGAGGCAUAGAUAGGCAUCUUCUUUUUCGGGGGGGACAACGUAGGGCAACUUACGCUAAUACCGCAUAUGUUCUACGGGUGGAAGCAGUGGAUCAUGGGGGCUUGGGCGAUACUAAUAGCCGGUGUCGGAUUAGCUAGUUGGCGGGGUAAAGGCUCACCAAGGCAACGAUGCGUAGCUGAUCUGAGAGGAUGAUCGGCCACACUGGAACUGAGACACGGUCCAGACUCCUACGGGAGGCAGCAGUAGGGAAUAUUGCGCAAUGGGCGAAAGCCUGACCCAGCCAUACCGCGUGAGUGAUGAAGGCCUUCGGAUUGUAAAGCCCUGUUAUUGGGAAAGAAAAGCUGCAGAAUAAAACCCCGCUGUUCUGACGGUACCCAAAGAGUAAGCACCGGCUAACUUCGUG
rnacentral:rRNA from 1 species